rnacentral:rRNA from 1 species
AUGCUCAAGUUGCAGGAGAAGAUGACCCUUCUCCUUCCCUCCGUUCCUUCCACACAGCCACAGGCAAAUCUCCUCAUGCCGAUGUUAAUAGUACUGAUGGCCCUUGAGCUCCUCGUGCCAACAGUAGCCGCUGCGCCGGUAGCCUUGCCUGGCUGCCCGGAGGCCUGUGGCAGCGUCACCGUCCCCUACCCUUUUGGCUUCCGGCAAGGCUGCUUUCACAAGGGCUUCAACCUCACCUGCAACGAGACGGGCCAUCAGCCGAAGCUGUUCCUGCAUGACGACGUGGAAGUGGACGCCAUCUCACUGGUGGGCGGCACGGUGCGUGUCCAGAGCAAGAUCGUGAACGGCGAGUGGGACUACAGGGACGUGCCAUACCAAGCGCUUAACCGAAACAGGAGCGUUCUGUCUGGGAAGCCCUAUAUUGGCUACGACGGCUCGUGGUCUGGCGGCCUAACGGUGUCGACCGAGCACAACGUCUUCGUGGCCAUCGGAUGCAACUUCAUCGGCUACCUCGCCGCAGGCAGUGACCGGGGUUCCGUGUACGUCAGUGCAUGCGCCACGCUGUGUGACACAGACUAUCCGCCACCCGGGGACACCUCGUGCUCGGGCGUCGGCUGCUGCCGGACGACCAUCUCGCAGGGUUUGCCCGCGUACGGGGUGCAGCUCAAGGAUUUGAACCAGACUGAAGCCGCGUACGCGGGCAAAGGCAAACCCAUUAGUUCACGCCUUUUGUCCGGGGCAGCGUUCAUUGUCGAUCGCGAGUGGUUCACCGGGAUUAACGUAGGCGCCAUGCAGAAUAGCACUUUCGGUGAUUUCGGAAGCCCGUAUCGAUCUCGUCGGAGCAGUCCCAAGGUGACCAGGGUACCCACCGUGCUGGAAUGGUGGCUGGAUGUGAAAAGCGACCGUGACUUGGUCGUGUUGGAUCCCCAUUCUGUAUCAGGUUGGAGAUGCAUGAGCUUGAACAGCUUCGCUGCCAACAUCGGCGGUGCAGUGAACAAAGUAAGGUGCAACUGCUCGGAUGGAUACGAAGGCAACCCUUACAUCAUUCACGGAUGCCAAGAUAUCGAUGAGUGCCAACUGCCAGUUUAUCCAUGCGUGCAUGGGACCUGCAUUAAUAUGCCGGGGACAUACCGAUGUGCAACAAACAAACGUAUCAUCAGCCUCCCAGGUUUAAUUACCGCAAUUGCAGUAACUGCUGGUUUUGGGCUACUGUUUUCACUUAUGGGUGCUGCCAAAAUCACUAAUAAACUCAAGCAACGAAGAGCCAAAAAGUUGAGACAAAAAUUCUUCAAGAAAAAUCAUGGAUUGCUUCUACAACAGUUAAUCUCUUCAAACAACGAUAUAGCCGAAAGAACAAGGAUUUUUAGCUUGGAAGAACUAGAGCAAGCGACCAACAAAUUUGACCAUAAUCGCAUCCUUGGUGGCGGUGGCCAUGGCACGGUGUACAAAGGCAUCUUAUCUGAUCAACGUAUUGUGGCCAUCAAGAAGGCCAAAAUUAUUGUACAAAGGGAAAUUGACCAGUUCAUCAACGAGGUUGUCAUACUUUCACAGACAAACCAUAGGAAUGUGGUGAAGCUUUUUGGUUGUUGCCUUGAGACAGAAGUUCCUCUACUUGUUUACGAAUUCAUAUCAAAUGGAGCUCUUUCAUUUCAUCUCCAUGGCCAAAGUGAGAACCCAUUAUCAUGGAAAGAUAGGUUGAGGAUUGCACUGGAAACUGCAAGGGCCAUUGCAUAUCUACACUCUGCUGCUUCAAUAUCAGUAUACCACAGAGAUAUCAAAUGUGCAAAUAUACUACUUACCGAUACCUUGACAUCAAAAGUAUCAGAUUUUGGAGCUUCAAGGUCUAUUGCAAUAGAUGAGACCGGAAUACUUACAGCUGUCCAAGGAACCUAUGGUUACCUUGAUCCUGAAUACUACUACACUAGUCGACUCACGGAGAAAAGCGAUGUUUACAGCUUUGGUGUCAUCCUAGCAGAGCUACUGACAAGGGUGACACCAGUUUUUUCUUCUCAUUCAUCAGAAGGGACAAGCCUAGCAUCACAUUUUGUAUCACAUAUAAGAGACAAUCGAUUCUCAGAUAUUCUAGAUGCACAAAUUGUUGAGGAGGGAGGGGCUGAAGAUGCUGAGGUGGUUGCAAGACUCGCAGAAGCAUGCUUAAGUUUAAAAGGUGAAGAGAGGCCUACAAUGAGACAAGUGGAGACAGUACUUGAAGAUGUUCAGAACUCAAGAGUCAAUCUUAGUUCUCAGAUCACAAGAGUGAACCGAAAUGCUACAAAUGAUCAGCCAUACAAGGGAAGUAAAGGCGGAGAAGAAACUAGACUGUACAGCUUGGAAAAAGAGUUUAUAGAGUCGUCUGAAAUUCCAAGAUGA